GUAUCUUAGAAAGCAUGCUCCUU
rnacentral:siRNA from 1 species